GGAAGGCAAGAAUGACUCAUGAAAAGCCUGCCUUUUGGAAGAGUUAACUCUGGAAGCAGAUUCUCUUCCACCCGGGGGCGAGGGUGAUAGGAGGAAGAUGUAGAAAGAUCCCCUAGAAGAGUCUCUUGUUGUCUUGGAACUUGCCAAAUACAAUUAGCUGGCUACUUAAUGAUCCCCAGAGCUUUGUUUGACAUCUCAAUAUCUUCCUAGUUCUGGGAUUGCAGAUGUUCUGUGUUGAGAAUUAUUACUCAAGGAACAAAAUAACACAAUAAAAAUGAUUCGCCAUGAAUGAUCCCUCCAUGAAGUCUUUGAAUAACAAUCCUAGUAACGUGGAAAACGAUGGCGAUGUUUGUUAAGUGAAGAAAAUAGAUCCUGGAAUUCCUUAUGUGUGGGAGGCUGCCGUGUUUAUGGUGGAGCAUGGGGACUGGCAGUCGGGAGG